rnacentral:rRNA from 1 species
CCAGACUCCUACGGGAGGCAGCAGUGAGGAAUAUUGGUCAAUGGGCUUACGCCUGAACCAGCCAAGUCGCGUGAGGGAAGACUGCCCUAUGGGUUGUAAACCUCUUUUGCCGGGGAGCAAGCGUGCGUUCGUGAACGCGCGUCGAGAGUACCCGGAGAAAAAGCAUCGGCUAACUCCGUGCCAGCAGCCGCGGUAAUACGGAGGAUGCGAGCGUUAUCCGGAUUUAUUGGGUUUAAAGGGUGCGUAGGCGGACGCUUAAGUCAGCGGUAAAAUUGCGGGGCUCAACCUCGUCGAGCCGUUGAAACUGGGUGCCUUGAGUGGGCGAGAAGUACGCGGAAUGCGUGGUGUAGCGGUGAAAUGCAUAGAUAUCACGCAGAACUCCGAUUGCGAAGGCAGCGUACCGGCGCCCAACUGACGCUGAAGCACGAAGGCGUGGGUAUCGAACAGGAUUAGAUACCCCCGUAA